UACGUAGGGGGCAAGCGUUAUCCGGAUUUACUGGGUGUAAAGGGAGCGUAGACGGCGAUGCAAGUCCGAAGUGAAAGCCCGGGGCUCAACCCCGGGACUGCUUCGGAAACUGUAUGGCUGGAGUGCUGGAGAGGCAAGCGGAAUUCCUAGUGUAGCGGUGAAAUGCGUAGAUAUUAGGAAGAACACCAGUGGCGAAGGCGGCUUGCUGGACAGUAACUGACGUUGAGGCUCGAAAGCGUGGGGAGCAAACAGG
rnacentral:rRNA from 1 species